UCCGCUGGCGGCGGCGGCGUGGGUGCGCGUUGCCGGGCAGUCAGCUGGCCGCGGGGCGAUAAGAGGGCGGGCGGCGCGGGGCGGCGGCGCUCGGUGCUCGCUCCCUCGCUCACGUCCUGCCGCGCUCCGGGGAGGGGGGAGAAAGGCGCCCGCUCCGCCAUGGCCGAGACGAUCGCGGACACCCGGCGGCUGAUCAGCAAGCCGCAGAACCUGAACGACGCCUACGGGCCGCCCAGCAACUUCCUGGAGAUCGACGUGGGCAACCCGCAGACGGUGGGGGUGGGCCGCGGCCGCUUCACCACCUACGAGAUCCGCGUCAAGACAAAUCUACCAAUCUUCAAAUUGAAAGAAUCUACAGUCAGAAGAAGAUACAGUGACUUUGAAUGGCUAAGGAAUGAACUAGAAAGAGAAAGCAAGGUUGUGGUUCCACCUCUUCCAGGAAAAGCUCUUCUCCGUCAGCUCCCUUUCCGAGGAGAUGAUGGCAUAUUUGAUGAUUCCUUUAUAGAGGAAAGAAAGCAGGCUCUCGAACAAUUCAUAAACAAAUGUGAGGUAUUAUCAGCUUGUGUAAUGAUGCAUAUUUUCUCUAAUCAUCAUGAGAAUCUUUAUGAAGAUGUAAAAACACUACCUGAGGCUUGGGACUCUAAAUGCCGAAGUGCACUUACUGAAAGUUUUGUAUGCUGAGUCUAGCAAUAUGUGGGGGAAGAGGGCUGUUUAUGUUCUGAAGCAGCUGAUAGUACAACAGUUGUCUUAAAUGGAAUCUGAAAAACUCAGUAUAGCUGACAGAAAGGGAGUGGCCAGUUUACUGGUAUCACUUGUUUAGUCCUACAGCAAGUAAUAGGUUGAUCUUGUGGAAUUGCAAAACUUCUUAGUCAAUUUUUCCUCCUUUGAAACAUAAAAGCAGACUGUUAAUGAAGAUAUUGAUGUAGUGGCAGACUUGAGUACAGCUGGAACAAGGCUCUUCAGGCACAACUCCUAGCUAUUCAACCUCAUCAAUUUAUUCUAAUGGCAUGACCAACUCAUCAAGCAAAUAUUACUAAUUAAAGUUUUGUACUAUGUAGAAGCUUUAAGGCUUCUACCAAGUACUCUGGGUACUAGUGAACUUAGACCUGAAGGUAAUUUGCAUAAUACAUUCAUAUUGCUGCAUUCUCAAAGCUAGUCUUUACCUCUAGAACUAGAGAAGAGUCCCUCAGAUAACUGAUACCACUAUAUCCAAAAAAGAUCUUGGUGUACCAAUGCCAGUUCUUGAUACCCAGGAGUGUUAAGAUAGAUGUUGUUGAGAAGCUUUAUCUCUCUAGAUCUAAAAUCUAAGAGGGACUAAAUCACAGCAGUGCAGCUUACUUGAGUGAGCUCUCUUGAGCCAGCUUGCUGGCACUACCAUCAAUACUACAUAGAAUGACAUUCACAGGGGUGGCUAUGUUGCAGCAUUCUUGUCUGCCUGAACCCGACUGUGGGAUACAUGAAAAUUCUUGAAGUAGCAGCUGCUAUGUGUAAAGGUCACCUUAGUGAAGAGCUCUAAGGAAAAGCCAAUGCAGAGUGAGGUAUUCAUGUGAAACCAAGAGCUGAAUCUGAGAGAUCGGAGCUAGUCUUGUAAUUCAGCCACCAAAUUGCAAGCCUUCCUGAAAGGGAGAAGAAAUAUGCUGCUGCCUCAUCAUCUUCUCCUGUAUAUCUUUCUCUUGAAGUUCAAGGCCAGCAACUUCAGUCUGAUGGGGGGUUGCAGGCCACCCACUGGCACAGAAUGAGCGCUGUCUUCACAUGUUCUUACAAGAUGAAGUAAUAGACAAAAACUACACACCAUCCAAAAUAAGACAUACUUGAGUUCUGAAAACAUCUUCUGAAACAUUAGUGGUUCUUAUGCUUGGUUUUAAGAGGUUGUAGUUUGUCUUAGCAUGCUGAGGAUAAACAGGCACGAAGUUUCCACUAACAUCAGUACACUGCUCGGUCUUUGCGUAUGCUUUAUACCAUAAAAGAACUCACUUGUCUUCUAGCUAAAUCCCUCUCAAUCCUUGAUUUAAGAGUAUUAUACUAUGAGACCAUCCACCCCUUGCAAUGUCUCACAAACCUUUCCACUCUUAUUUGCAAUGACUUAACAAUGUUUACUGACUUGGCCUUACUUGAACUUGCACAGUUGUAGUGUCACGUGUUCACUUGUAUUUGACUAAACUGCUAUGCUGUUUCUGAGGUAGUCAUCUGUCUGAACUUCUGUAGGAAGACUGCUUUAUUUCUGAUACCCUGUGUGAGAAACACUUAUGCAAUUGUCUUCAAGCUUGUAAAACACUUUAUACUGAAGUAAUGAGGGAAUUAUCUUUAUAUUCUGUAAGAGGAAAAAAUCAAAUUUAUAUACUAAAGUAACUUGUCUAAAGUUUUGAAAUAAAAGUGAAAAUGCACUUCAAA